AUGCGAGGGCGAGGGCGACCACCGGAGGCGCCGUCGGGAUCUCCUUCGGAUCCCGCUGUUUUGCCGUCACCGCUGCGGAUCGCCCCAGCCUCGGCACCCUCCUCGGCUCAGCCCGAUCCCAUCCAGCGAGAUCAGAUCGUGGCUGGGUGUGAGGCGGACGUGCGUGCGGAGUGGGGGUUGCGUUGGGCUGUGCGUUUCCGAGAUGGCCAUGGAGAUUGGAUCGCCGGACGUCUGCACCAUUCGCCGGCAUCUCGAUGGACGACGCUGCUGGAUCUGGACAACGACGUCCGCACCGGCGAUUAUGUGACGAUAGGCGACCAGGUGAGGGUUGGUUCUAAUUUGCGGAUUGAUGUCUAUGACGUGGUUGUGGAGCAUCGUAUGCAGAUGGUUGCGGAUGUGGCAAGCCCGAUCGAGCUUCUCGACUCGUCCUCGGAGUCUGACGGCGGGGAGCUCGGUCGGCGGGGGGAGCCUGGGGGCGCGACCUCCGUGAUCCACGCGGGGCCGUCGCCUGGCUCAUCCGGAGAUCGACGGCGGGUGGGGGGCCGGUUUUGGGCACUCGCUGAUGCCGACGAUGAAGACGAGGAUGAGGAGGCCGAAGCGGCGCAACCUUCUCCAGCGUCGCCGACCCCUUCCGAUCUGCUGUGUGAGUUUUUGUGUGCAGAGUACGAUGAAGAUGAGGUCGCUUCUACGGUCAACAACAUCUUGCCCGUUGAUGAUCCGGCUCGGGUUGGGCUUCAUGCGAGGGAGACCAAGGAGAUGUUACGUCGGGUGGUUCACCGGAGAACGGCGGCGUCGGUGAUCCGGCCGUGGAAGGGUCCGCUACCUAAGGUUGUAUUCCGUGCUACGGCGCUGAUCCGUAUGUGGUCCUUACUCACUCCGACGGAGGCCAGGGAGCGUUUGGUUACUGGAUCUGUCCGUUGGGAGAUGGUAGCGCGGGAUAUCUUCAACCGGUUUGGAUGGCGGUCAUAUAAUAUGAUAGGCAAUUAG
rnacentral:rRNA from 1 species